rnacentral:rRNA from 1 species
AACGUAGGAGGCGAGCGUUAUCCGGAUUUACUGGGCGUAAAGCGCGUGUAGGCGGCUCGAGAAGUUGGAUGUGAAAGCUCCCGGCUUAACUGGGAGAGGUCGUUCAAAACUUUCGGGCUAGAGGGUGUAAGAGGGAGGUGGAAUUCCGGGUGUAGUGGUGAAAUGCGUAGAUAUCCGGAGGAACACCAGUGGCGAAAGCGACCUCCUGGUGCACCCCUGACGCUGAGAUGCGAAAGCUAGGGUAGCAAACGGG